rnacentral:rRNA from 1 species
GAGGAAUAUUGGUCAAUGGGCGGUAGCCUGAACCAGCCAAGUAGCGUGCAGGAUGACGGCCCUAUGGGUUGUAAACUGCUUUUAUGCGGGGAUAAAGUCACCCACGUGUGGGUGUUUGCAGGUACCGCAUGAAUAAGGACCGGCUAAUUCCGUGCCAGCAGCCGCGGUAAUACGGAAGGUCCGGGCGUUAUCCGGAUUUAUUGGGUUUAAAGGGAGUGUAGGCGGCCUGUUAAGCGUGUUGUGAAAUGUAGAUGCUCAACAUCUGAACUGCAGCGCGAACUGGCUGGCUUGAGUACACGCAACGUGGGCGGAAUUCAUGGUGUAGCGGUGAAAUGCUUAGAUAUCAUGAGGAACUCCUAUUGCGAAGGCAGCUCACGGGAGUGUCACUGACGCUUAAGCUCGAAGGUGCGGGUAUCAAACAGGAUUAGAUACCCUGGUAGUCCGCACGGUAAACGAUGGAUGCCCGCUGUUGGCGCUUUGCGUCAGCGGCUAAGCGAAAGCAUUAAGCAUCCCACCUGGGGAGUACGCCGGCAACGGUG